GAUGAAUUGCCUGAUAAAAGGAUUACCUUGAUAGGGUAAAUUAUGUAUUUAUAUACAUUCAUUA
rnacentral:tRNA from 1 species